rnacentral:rRNA from 1 species
UACGUAGGGUGCGAGCGUUGUCCGGAUUUAUUGGGCGUAAAGAGCGUGUAGGCGGCCAUGUAGGUCCGGUGUGAAAACUCGAGGCUUAACCUCGAGAUGUCAUCGGAAACCAUUUGGCUAGAGUCCGGAAGAGGAGAGUGGAAUUCCUGGUGUAGCGGUGAAAUGCGCAGAUAUCAGGAAGAACACCAAUGGCGAAAGCAGCUCUCUGGGACGGUACUGACGCUGAGACGCGAAAGCGUGGGGAGCGAACAGG